CCUACGGGAGGCAGCAGUGGGGAAUAUUGGACAAUGGGCGAAAGCCUGAUCCAGCAAUGCCGCGUGAGUGAUGAAGGCCUUAGGGUUGUAAAGCUCUUUUACCAGGGAUGAUAAUGACAGUACCUGGAGAAUAAGCUCCGGCUAACUCCGUGCCAGCAGCCGCGGUAAUACGGAGGGAGCUAGCGUUGUUCGGAAUUACUGGGCGUAAAGCGUACGUAGGCGGUUAUUCAAGUCAGAGGUGAAAGCCUGGAGCUCAACUCCAGAACUGCCUUUGAAACUAGAUAGCUAGAAUCUUGGAGAGGUGAGUGGAAUUCCGAGUGUAGAGGUGAAAUUCGUAGAUAUUCGGAAGAACACCAGUGGCGAAGGCGACUCACUGGACAAGUAUUGACGCUGAGGUACGAAAGCGUGGGGAGCAAACAGGAUUAGAUACCCUGGUAGUCCACGCCGUAAACGAUGAUAACUAGCUGUUCGGGCUCUACGAGCUUGAGUGGCGCAGCUAACGCAUUAAGUUAUCCGCCUGGGGAAGUACGGUCGCAAGAUUAAAAACUUAAAGAGUAGUACGACGNGAGAGAGCGACGACGACGACGAGGAGGAGGAG
rnacentral:rRNA from 1 species